UACGGGGGGAGCAAGCGUUGUUCGGAUUUACUGGGCGUAAAGGGCGCGUAGGCGGUAGCACAAGUCAGUUGUGAAAUCUCCGGGCUUAACUCGGAAAGGUCAACUGAUACUGUGCGACUAGAGUGCAGAAAGGGCAACUGGAAUUCUCGGUGUAGCGGUGAAAUGCGUAGAUAUCGAGAGGAACACCUGCGGCGAAGGCGGGUUGCUGGGCUGACACUGACGCUGAGGCGCGAAAGCCAGGGGAGCGAACGGG
rnacentral:rRNA from 1 species